rnacentral:misc_RNA from 1 species
GAUGAAGAACGUAGCGAAAUGCGAUAAGUAGUGUGAAUUGCAGAAUUCAGUGAAUCAUCGAAUCUUUGAACGCACAUUGCGCCCCUUGGUAUUCCAUGGGGCAUGCCUGUUCGAGCGUCAUUUGUACCUUCAAGCUCUGCUUGGUGUUGGGUGUUUGUCUCGCCUCUGCGUGUAGACUCGCCUCAAAACAAUUGGCAGCCGGCGUAUUGAUUUCGGAGCGCAGUACAUCUCGCGCUUUGCACUCAUAACGACGACGUCCAAAAGUACAUUUUUACACUCUUGACCUCGGAUCAGGUAGGGAUACCCGCUGAACUUAAGCAUAUCAAUAGCGGAGGA